rnacentral:tRNA from 1 species
GGAGAGAUGCCGGAGUGGUUGAACGGGGCGGUCUCGAAAACCGUUGUGCCUCUUUUGGGGUACCGAGGGUUCGAAUCCCUCUCUCUCUGCAA